rnacentral:rRNA from 1 species
GACGAACGCUGGCGGCGUGCUUAACACAUGCAAGUCGAGCGGUAAGGCCCUUUCGGGGGUACGACGAGCGGCGAACGGGUGAGUAACACGUGGGUGACCUGCCCUCAGCUCUGGGAUAAGCCUGGGAAACCGGGUCUAAUACCGGAUAUGACUCCAUGACGCAUGUUGUGGGGUGGAAAGCCUUGUGCGGCUGAGGAUGGGCCCGCGGCCUAUCAGCUUGUUGGUGGGGUGAUGGCCUACCAAGGCGACGACGGGUAGCCGGCCUGAGAGGGCGACCGGCCACACUGGGACUGAGGCACGGCCCAGACUCCUACGGGAGGCAGCAGUGGGGAAUCUUGCGCAAUGGGCGAAAAGCCUGACGCAGCGACGCCGCGUGAGGGAUGACGGCC